rnacentral:rRNA from 1 species
ACAAUAGGCCGUCAGUGGGACAUCAUAGAGGGUGACAAUCCCGUCCUUGAUGCCAAUGUGCAAGUUCAUUACGAUGGCUAUCUCAGAGAGUCGAGCAGUUUGGGAUUUGCUGCUUAAACAUGGGAGGUAGAUUCCUUCUAAAGCUAAAUACAGGCGAGAGACCGAUAGAGAACAAGUACCGCAAGGGAAAGAUGAAAUAGCACUCUGUGAAGGGAGUCAAAAAGGCGUGAAAUUGUUGCGAGAGAAGCGAUUCAAGUCAGCGUAGCUAGGCCCAUCAAGCCUCUUUGCUUUGGACUAGCUUUGCCAGCGGUCUUGUCCUUUAGAGACUUGACUAUUGUGAAUGUCCAGUCUGGUAUGCACAGGCAGCCCCCUCUGGGGGCCAGUGACAUGGCUGGUGGAAUGGCUUGCAAUCGACCCGUCUUGAAACACGGACCAAGGAGUCUAACAUGUAUGCGAGUAUAAGGGUGGCAAACCCGUAUGCGCAAUGAAAGUGAUUUUCGGUGAUUGAGAAUGGCCUGAUGACCAGACAAGCAAUAUUAUGUCCCUCGUACGGCCAUUGCCCAAGUUCCGUGGUAGAUCCCAUGAACAUGGAGUUGGAGCAUACAUGCUAGGACCCGAAAGAUGGUGAACUAUGCCUGGACAAAGCGAAGCCAAAGGAAACUCUGGUGGAGGCUUGUAGCGAUUCUGACGUGCAAAUCGAUCGUCUGAUCUGGGUAUA